rnacentral:snRNA from 1 species
UUCUUCAAACCCAAGAUCUCACUU